UGGCUCAUAAGAAUAAAGAUAUUGUAAUAAAAUUUCUAAAAGAUGAUAAUGAACUGAAGUAUCCAGCUAUUAAUUUUUUACGUAACCAAGGGCUUGCUCACUACCAGCAAUUGACAGGUAUUAUAAUUCCAGUUAUGAAAGUGAGAAAAGACGCAGUGCACAAAGUUGAAAAAGUACAGUGUAAUACUUGUUAUGGCUAUUUUUCAAAGAAAACCUUGUGGAGGCAUCAACAGUUAUGCAAAAAUUUUAUAUCCUCUAUUCGAUCAAAGUUCUGAAGCAGUACACUUCAAAAAACUGGAGCAUUCAUGUGACAAUUUAAGAACAAAUUCCAAUGAAAAUCUAUGUCUCUCCAAUGGACUUUUUACAAUAAGGGAUGACAUUCUUACAAUACCGAUGCUUUGAAAGUAAUUUUAUUAUCAUCGAACAAAACUAAAUUCAAUAAAAAGGAAUUUGUUUUUGAAGACUAUUACAAUUUCAAAAUUUUCAGAUGAUUCAUAUAAAGAAUUUUAUGGGUUUCCAAAUUAUUUAAAAUUAGACAAAAAAAUUGCUUAUGCAUAAGUUGGAGAUGCUUGAUUCAUCAAUUAUUCAGUACUACUCUACCAAGUGAAAAGCAGAAGGAUAUUCAUUCUAUUUAUACUGUGAAAAAUUUAUAACCCAUUUUGCUAGACACUUAAUGAUGGCUCAUAAUGAUAAAGAUAUUGUAAUAAAAUUUCUAAAAGAUGAUAAUGAACCGAAGUAUCCAGCUAUUAAUUUUUUACGUAACCAAGGGCUUGCUCACUCCAGCAAUUGACAGAGAUUAUAAUUCUUGUGCAAGCA